CUGGGUGUCAAGUGUUAUCCAUUUUUGCUCAUCAGAUAGACCAUGUCGACACACCACACACACACACACACACACACACUAUAACAUAUAACUCACCACAGUAGCAACAGAAGGGAAGUUUCAUCGCACGUGUAGUCUUCCCAUUCGCCUUACAAGACACCAACACACUGCUCCUGUAGAGAUUAUUGUGUUUUCCUGACCACCGGUAUCUGAAUGAAAAGUUACUCUGGUCCGACCAGCUCUUGUCUCUGAACAGGCCGAUCCAUGCAUACAGGUAGCCCUUUGGUACCAUCUUCCCUAUCUUCUUGCUCUCAUUCAGGUUCCUCACACUGGCCAGGUCUGUGUAGUGCUCUUUGCUGUAGCUCUGUGCCACAUCCCAGGUCAGAGUUUCAUUUGACAAGAUGAUUCUCUCAGAAAUGUUGUUGUCUCUCUUCCAAAUAUCAAAUGCUUCUUGAAAUCCCAGUAAUAUUUCCCCAAAAAUCUUUACUUGUUUUAAUUCAUGUUUGUGUCUUAAUAACUUGAUAUAGUGUGUCACUUUCAGUGCAUAUGCAUGUUAAAGUAUGUGUUUGCAAACAUGAUGCGUUAAAGGUCCAAUGCAGCCAUUUUUAUCUCAAUAUCAAAUCAUUUCUGGAUAACAAUUAAGUACCUUUCAAUGAAAAUGGUCAAAAGAAAUAAAAAUAGCUUCUUAGCAAAGAGCAAACUGAAAAUGUGCUGUUAUUGGCAGAGAGGUUUGGAACUCUCUUUCUUAUUGGUCUAAUAACUCAUUUACCACAUGGUUAUGUCAACAUGGAAGGCCAAAACUCCAUCUCAUCAAAACAGGCUGAAAUUUCAGGUGCUCUUUUCAAACACCUCUCCUGGGCUUUUCACACACGACACUGUCUAGAAUGGUGUGACAAACAAAAAACAUCCAGUCAGCAGAAAUCCUGUGGGCAAAAACAGCUUGUUCAUGAUAGAGGCCGAAGGAGAAUGGCAAGAAUCCUGCAAGCUAACACGUGGGCCAUAAACAGACAAAUAACGGUGCAGUACGAACAUCCUUGUCACAGAUGGGCUAUUGCAGCAGACGACCACACCCGGUUCCACUCUUAUCAGCUAAAAACAAGAAGAAGUGGCUCCAGUGGGCACUCGAUCACCAACACUAGACAAUUGAAGAAUAGAAAAACAAUCGCCUGGAACAUGACAGCGAGUUCAUUUUACCUGAGUGGACUGCACAGUCCCCAGACCUCAACCCAAUAGACCAUCUCUUGGAUGAGUUGUAACGGCUGUUCGCAGCAUGAAUGUACCGCCAGCAUUUAUCGCGUCAGCAUGGACCAACAUCCCUGUUGAACGGUUCGACACUUUGUAGAAUGCCCCAGAGAAUUCAGGCCGUUCUGGAUGUAAAUGGGGGGUACGAGGGUGGGUGGGUGUACCUAAUGAAUGUGACUGUAUAUAAAACACAGGAAAAUCACUGGGCCUUUAAAUAAAACAAAACACAGGAAAAUCACUGGGCCUUUAAAAAGAGAGUCUAUUUCCCGCACCCGUGCAUCAAUCUAAGUAACAUGGGCUACGUCUAAACCCACUGCAUCCACCUAUAUAUCGGCCUUCCGCAUCUGCGGUGGAAGGUGGCCAAGCUAUAGCAGUGUUUGAGAUUCUCCCGAACAAGAUGGGGGUCUCUUUUAUGCUCUACAAUCCCCACAAGUGUCAGGGGACUUGUCUGAAGGUAACCAGUACUGGUUUACCUACAGUAUUGUGGACAUUGCCACUGGAUGCGCCGAGUCGCAUUAGAAGAUAUUCCAUGCAGCAGCAUUACAAGUUCCAACACUAGAAUGUGUGAUGUUGUAGUCUUCUAACACGGGUGGGAUACAGUAUACAAGGAAGUGUAUGGUUUUGUGACAUUGAACCGCUAACCGUUUUGACAGGUCUAACCUAGUUCCAUCUCUGAUAGUCUUUGGUGUAUUUACAGCUCUGUGUUUGUACUAACAUGUUCUCAACAUUGUAUCAGAUAGAGAAGUAUUUUUCAAGCUUUCAAUUGUGCUUGCUGCUAUGGUGCUCUCAAUGCAGUGUGAUGUAAGCAAAAAAACAAAAAUUUUGGGGUAACUUUCAACCAGCG
rnacentral:lncRNA from 1 species